GUGGGGAAUAUUGCACAAUGGGGGAAACCCUGAUGCAGCAACGCCGCGUGAAGGAAGACGGUUUUCGGAUUGUAAACUUCUGUUCUUAGUGAAGAAUAAUGACGGUAGCUAAGGAGCAAGCCACGGCUAACUACGUGCCAGCAGCCGCGGUAAUACGUAGGUGGCAAGCGUUGUCCGGAAUUACUGGGUGUAAAGGGAGCGCAGGCGGGUCGGCAAGUUGGAGGUGAAAGCUGUGGGCUCAACUCACAAACUGCCUUCAAAACUGCCGGUCUUGAGUGGUGUAGAGGUAGGCGGAAUUCCCGGUGUAGCGGUGGAAUGCGUAGAUAUCGGGAGGAACACCAGUGGCGAAGGCGGCCUACUGGGCACUAACUGACGCUGAGGCUCGAAAGCAUGGGUAGCAAACAGGAUUAGAAACCCUUGUAGUCC
rnacentral:rRNA from 1 species